rnacentral:lncRNA from 1 species
CUUCAUUAAUGCAUUUCAAAUGCUUUCUUUGCAGAAUUUGGAAACUGAUUUAGGAGAGACGAGGAAAAAAAUAAAAAGUUUACACAGUAUAUGCAGUAACUUCAGGUAGAUGUGAAACAGGAAGAACUUUUCCAAAAUGAUUGUGAUGCAGUUGGAGCUAAGAAGGAGUUAGAGGAGCCACAGAAUCUUUACAGACAAAACAUUGAAGAUACAACACAGCAGGCUGAGCUGAUAAAGCAGCUAGAGGCUCUCAAUGCUGAUACACAAAAAGUACUGCAAGACCAAGAAUAUGCUCACACAGCUAAAACAACAUAUCAAAAAUCUCAAGAAUCUUAUGAGCUAAGAGCAGCCUAUGGAAAACACGAAGAGAGGCUGCAGAUGUUACAGACCAACUACAGAGCACUAAAAGAGCAAUUAAAGCAGUGGGAAGAGGGUGAUAGCAGGUAAGUUACAUAGCUCAUUAAAAACAUUUUCCUUACACAAGAAAUCUUAAUAGAAGUAUUACAUAGGUAUUCAAAAGAGAAUGUAAUUUGAAGGAAGGAGCUACUGUGUGGUGAU